ACCUCAGUUUGUCUGGUCUGGAGGUGUGAACUCAACAGUGUCUUUCACAGUGAAUCCUGACCGAGACCAACAUUUCUUCAGAGAGUCUGUCAAACUGAGCUGUGAGGGAAACUUCACAGAGUGGAGAGUGAUGACAUAUAAAUAUUUCUUGAGGCAUUUACACUGUGAAAUAAUUUCUGCAUCUACAUGCACCUACAGUUUAUGGUGGGAUGGAGUGUACUGGUGUGAAUCUGCAUCAGGAGAGUUCAGCAAUGCUGUUAACAUCACUGUACAACAUCUACCCCAACCUGUCCUCUCUGUGUCUCCAUCAUGGCUGAGUCCUGGAGCCUCAGUAACUCUGAGCUGUGAGGUUGAACAUCCAUCUGCAGGAUGGAGGUUUUACUGGUAUAAAGCUGUUCCUGAUCUAUCAGACAACUACACAACCCACAAGUAUGAGCUGCUUCCUGGUAGCAUCAAUGGAACUGAAGAAGAUUCCUACAUCAUUGAUGGACAGACACACACAGCAGGAUAUGUGUGUAGAGCUGGAAGAGGAGAGCCAGUGUUUUACACUGA